AUGGAUCAGGAGAACACAAUGGACUUUAAAGCCCUGAGGGCCAAGUUCCAGGAUCAAGAAAUACUCCUGCAGCAGCAACCCAGGAUCAAACCUGCUCUCCCAGAGAAACCAAAGGUUGUCCCUCCUCCCCAGAGCCCCCCUCACUACCUCCCUGCAGGAGCACGCCCUUCCCUGCUCACCUCCAUCAACGAGAGCCUGGAAGGGAAGGCACUGAUUGCCCCCAGAGUGGUCUUCAAGGAUGACACAAAGGAGAGCAAAAUGCCUCUCAUCCCGGCUAACUCUCAGGGAAAAAACAAGAGUGAGGGGAAGUUGAGAAAGGGUAAAGACAAGACAACAAAGGGAAGCAAAGAGAAGCUUGAUGAGGAUCCAUCUGAUCAAAAGCAGAAGAAAGAGCACAGUAAGGACAAAAGGUUCUCAUUGCUCCAUGUAGCACCUAAGGAGAGCACUUCAGAGCUGGUGCCAGCCACGCCUCCACCUAAAGCAACAACAUCAAAGAAGAAGGGCUUCCUGGUUUUCAAGAAGUCAUCUAAAAGAAAUUCAGUCGAGGUUCCAGAAAAUCCGAUCCUAGAUGCCCCUAGCUCAGACGUUCCUGUUCAAGCUCCGCUUAUCCCAGUACCUUCUGAAUUCAGUGAAGUACCACCAGAGCCUGAAAUCUCUGCACCAAAGGCCCUUCUACCAAACAUCCCCACCUUACUUGACUCCAGUGCUGCAGUGGAAAUUACCCCGCCCUCCACUGUCCCUGCCUUUGUUCCUGAUAUCCCGGCUGAUGUCCCAACCCCAGAGAGUGAAACCCCAAUUGAGAUAGAAACUCCUGCCCUGCCCAUUUCCAGGCCUGCCAGCCAAAAUGAAAUUAUUCCAAGUCCCCCUGACGCUGUCCCAACCCCUCCACCCAGUCGUGCCGUCUCUGGUCCUCCCCCAGUGGCCUCCACUCCCUCUCCAUCACUUCCUGAGCCUGAGAUUGCAGCAGAGGCUGGUGCAGAGGCUGUAAACAUAGUUGCAGUGGAGCAGCUCCUAUACCCUCCAUCCAUUCCGAUGUCUCCUAAAGACGAGCGUCCGAUCUCAGCCCUCUCAGUCCUGGAGAGGGCGGAGGACAUAUACCCAGCGAAAAGAACUUCUCAGUGUGACCAGAGGAUCUUCAAUGCUCUGGAGAAGGCCCGCAGGAAGACUAGCCCGCUGACACACCCCACCUCCUCCUCCGUCACCCCACCUCCAGAAGAUCUCCCCCCUCCUCAGAGUCCCACCUGCUCUCUCCCAGAUCUCCCACCCAUUGAUUAUGAGGAUCGGGGAGGUAACGCCCUCCUGAAAACGGCACAACUUAACGGCUUUGACCACCGGCAAGUCUCUCCAGUGUUGGAAGGUAUCACUGAGGAAGGGUCUGACGCUGUCCCAGAGCUGUUGAUGGUUCCACCUCCUCCACCCAGGAAGGUCCUCCCAGACCAUGAAUCUCUGGGUCCUGCUCCAGCGAAGCCAGACAGACCUCCUUCUGUCAACUUGAGUGAAUUCAUUCCUUCUCCUCCUUCUCUGGAAGAUAACGAGAUCCCUGCUCCUCCUGAAUUCUCAGAGACUGACACCACGGAUCUCCCAGAGUUUGACGAUGUGGCUUCAGAUGCUCACUCUUCCAGUCUGCAGACGUCAGACUGGGGGAAUGGAGAGUACACUGGCCCAGAUAGUCCAGAUGUACAGAACAUGCCAGAGUUUUACAGUAACGGUAUAACUACUCCAGGAGCUGAGGUUCAUGCAGCACUAGACCGAGAUACUCCACAACCAGAAUCCUCCUUCCUUACCUCUCAGGAAUCUUCCCCACAGGCAGAGCUUCAAGCUGGAGUGAACAACGAUGUCUAUGAGAGCACAGAAAAUGUGUAUGAGGACAUUGCCACAUCUGCCACCAAGAAGAAAGGAAAGACUGACGGUGGCAAGAAACGCAAAGGACCACCAAAGAAUCCUUACGCUGAGGCACAACAGGAAACAAAUGAAGAGAAAAGCAAGACGGGCAGGUUUGGCAAGAUUGACAAGAAAGCCGCUGCAGAAGGACCAGAUGAGAAAGAGCUGAAAAAGAAAGAGAAGCAGCGCCUGGAAAAGGAGAAGAAGGAGCUAAAGGAGAAGCAAGAAAGGGAAAAGAAGGAGCAAAAAGAGAGGGAAAAGAAGGAGAACGAGAUGAAGAAGAAAUUCAAAGUGAGUGAUUUUAUUUUGACAGAACAGUGA
rnacentral:lncRNA from 15 species